AAAGGACUGGGAAGACAGUGCGCGUGCGCGGCGACCUGGCGCCUGCGUCGUGAGCGCGGUCGAAGCUUUGCCCGGUUGCUGCUCAGGGAAGGGCAAGGGGAUGAAAGCUUUUUCUAAGGAACUGGGGAGGGAAUCGCAACAUACGGUAGGUUAAGGGACCGCAAUCUAGCGCCCAACCUCGUUCCCGUGCAAUGCAGGAAUUAUUUUUGCCUAACUUGAGGCCGGAAUCCACGACUCUGAGAUUAAUGCUAAACCGGGGGUCUGGGUUAAAGGCGGAUCUACACGGAUCCUCAGGGAUCCUCCACUUUUUAAAAAAAUAACUCCAACAAAUCCAGUGUCAAAUCACAUCUGGAAGGCACGCCUACAGACUGGACAAUAAAAAACGUGGAUCCAACACUUAGCCGCCCUGCAGCACCACAAAAACAUGGAUCCUCAUGAAUUCAUAUGAUUUUUAUAUUGAAACAAAAUAAAAACACCAUGAUAUACACCACGUGUCUGUAGACAGAACCAUGGUUAAAAAACACGGAUCCUCAUAGAUCCACAUGAUUUUUGCACUAGAUCAGCCCAAAGUCACCAUCAGAUCAAAUAUAAUGGCCAUGGUCACAGACUGCACCACAAAAAUCAUGUAUCCACGGCUUCCUGGCAGCUCCAUGGCCCAAAAACGUGAUUUUGAAGCACGGAUCCUCAUGGAUCCUCACGCUUUAUGCAUUGAGCUACCCCAGACUCACCAUCAAUUCACACAUCAUAGCCAGGGGACCAGCCUGCACCACAAAAAUCAUGAGUUGCACUACAAAAAUCACAAAAUGCCCUUAGCAGCACUGUUAAUGUCACCACUGGAGCAUUAUUAUUAGAGCUGAGAGGAGAAUGUACGACUAUAUAUUGUACCAAGAUAUGGUUCAUCUUCAAGAACAGAUCAAAUACAUGCCGAAGUAUUAAAGAGGAGAAAAAAAUAUGAAACUGCUUUCAUACUGUCAACUAAUAUCCAGAUUCAAGAAAGACUGUAUGGCAAAUAGUUAAAUCAGUGAAAAGACAGAAUUUGAGUCCAUCAUAACAGAGGUCUACCUUUUGGGUAAAAUUUAUAAACUAUUACUCAAAUAUGACACUGAGCCCGAACAAGCAAAACAUUAUAUGACAAAAUGGAUGCAAAAAAUUUAAGAACAGUUUACAGUGGAACAAUGAGAACAAUUAUGAAUAAAGGAAUAAAAUUCACUGCAGUUAAGUCCUAAAACAAAAUUGGUACAGUGAAACCUCGGGUUGUGGACGUAAUCCGUGAUGGAGGCAUGUCCGCAACCCGCAGCGUUCACAUCCUGAAGCACUGCGUAUGCGCAGGCGCCGGCACAAUUUGGCGCUUCUGCGCAUGCGCGAGUGGCAAAACCCGGAAGUACUUCUGGGUUUCCAGCAGUCUGCAACCCGAAAACACGUAACCUGAAGUGGCCGUAACAUGAGGUGUGACUGUACAAAAAUAUUCUUUCAAUGGUCUAUAACUUUGAAAGAUAUACAGAAGAUGAAUAAUGAAAUGAAUGGACAUUGCUGGAAAUGUCAUAGCCCUCAAGGAACCUUCUUCCAUUUAUGGUGGACCUGUGAAAAGACCAAAAAGUUUUGGAGGAAAGUUCAUUUUGAAAUGAAAAAACUGUAAAAAAACAAAAUUUGCAUUGGACCCUAAAACUAUGCCGUUGGGAAUAACUCCUUCAGCUACUGUAUUGUGAAAUCGUCAGUGGAACUAUUUAGUUAUAUGACCACAGCAGUCAGAGUGGUGUUGGCUAACAUAUGGAAAUCUGACAUAUGUCCUGAAAUAGAUGCAUGGAAAGAGAAACUAUCAGAAUAUGCAGUAAUGGCAAAACUCGCGAUAGACUCAUGGCAGAACAUAAAAAAACUUGGAAUCUUUAUAAUUUGUAUACAACUUAACAGAACUGUAACAAAAUGAACAUCUGUAUGGAUUGGUAUAAUAGACCUUAGGUUACAAAAAUAUUUCCUGUUUAAAAAUAGAAGCUUUGUGUGUAUAUGAUAAAGAAAUAUAUAGUAGAAAAAAUAUUGUCUGUCUGAUCUAGAAAUGAAAUCAUAUUUUUAAAUAAUUUUUGCUUUAGAUUUUUAUAAUCAUAAAUGGUAUUUCUCCAAUAGCAAACUACCUAGAAUUGGAAAUAAAAUUUAGUACACUAACCUUUGUUUAACUCUUGAUAAAUAUCAGCUUGCUGAGUUAUUUUGUACCAUUGUGAUUCAGUGUUAUAUUUGCCAGCAGGCAGACCCAGCAAUACAGAGUUUUGCUGCUUAGCAAGAGAUUUGGGGAAGCUGCUACCGUUCUUCACUGUGAUAAGAAUACACACUGAGUACUCGUCUCCUGUUUACUGUGCAAGCAAGUCAGCCAGGCCAUAGCAUGAGUACCUGCCAGCCAUCUCAUCCUAGGUCACCUCCUAUGCAGCAUCAGGCAGGUGAAGUCACCAACAUCCAUGAAAAAAUAUACCGAAGGCGA